UACGGAGGGUGCAAGCGUUAUCCGGAUUUACUGGGUUUAAAGGGUGCGUAGGCGGAUAUUUAAGUUAGAUGUGAAAGCUUGCAGCUCAACUGUAAGAUUGCGUUUGAAACUGGAUAUCUUGAAUUAAGUGGAAGUGGACGGAAUCAAUCAUGUAGCGGUGAAAUGCAUAGAUAUGACACAGAACACCGAUUGCGAAGGCAGCUCACUAAGCCAUUACUGACGCUCAGGGACGAAAGCGUGGGGAGCGAACAGG
rnacentral:rRNA from 1 species